rnacentral:tRNA from 1 species
CGGGAUGUAGCGCAGUUGGUUAGCGCGCAUGGUUUGGGACCAUGAAGUCGUGAGUUCGAGUCUCACCAUCCCGA